GACGAGGGAUCCUAGCGUUGUUCAGAAUCAUUGGGCGUAAAGCGUGUGUAGGUGGCUAUUCAAGUCAGUUGUGAAAUCCCCGGGCUUAACCCGGGAAGUGCUUCUGAUACUGUUUAGCUUGAGUACUGGAGAGGAUAGUAGAAUUCCUGGUGUAGUGGUGAAAUACGUAGAUAUCAGGAGGAAUACCGGUGGCGAAGGCGGCUAUCUGGCCAUGUACUGACGCUGAGACACGAAAGCGUGGGGAGCAAACAGG
rnacentral:rRNA from 1 species